rnacentral:rRNA from 1 species
AGCAGCCGCGGUAAUUCCAGCUCCAAUAGCGUAUAUUAAAGUUGUUGCAGUUAAAAAGCUCGUAGUUGAAUUUCGGGAUUGACGUGAUGGUCAUGCCUUAAGGGGUAUGAACUGUCACAGUUGAUUUCUCACCUUCUGGAGAAACUUGAUGUCCUUUAUUGGGUGUCUUGCGGAUCCAGGACCUUUACCUUGAAAAAUUAGAGUGUUUAAAGCAGGCAUUUUUGCUCGAAUACAUUAGCAUGGAAUAAUAGAAUAGGACGGCAUGGUUCUAUUUUGUUGGUUUCUAGGAUCACCGUAAUGAUUAAUAGGGAUAGUUGGGGGCAUUAGUAUUCAAUUGUCAGAGGUGAAAUUCUUGGAUUUAUUGAAGACUAACUACCGCGAAAGCAUUUGCCAAGGAUGUUUUAUUAAUCAAGAACGAAAGUUAGGGGAUCGAAGACGAUCAGAUACCGUCGUAGUCUUAACCAUAAACUAUGCCGACUAGGAAUCAGACGAUGUUAAUUUUUAAUGUACUCGUUUGGCU